rnacentral:rRNA from 1 species
GAUGAACGCUGGCGGCGUGCUUAACACAUGCAAGUCGAACGGGAAAUAUUUCAUUGAGACUUCGGUGGAUUUGAUCUAUUUCUAGUGGCGGACGGGUGAGUAACGCGUGGGUAACCUGCCUUAUACAGGGGGAUAACAGUCAGAAAUGGCUGCUAAUACCGCAUAAGCGCACAGAGCUGCAUGGCUCAGUGUGAAAAACUCCGGUGGUAUAAGAUGGACCCGCGUUGGAUUAGCUUGUUGGUGGGGUAACGGCCCACCAAGGCGACGAUCCAUAGCCGGCCUGAGAGGGUGAACGGCCACAUUGGGACUGAGACACGGCCCAGACUCCUACGGGAGGCAGCAGUGGGGAAUAUUGCACAAUGGGGGAAACCCUGAUGCAGCGACGCCGCGUGAAGGAAGAAGUAUCUCGGUAUGUAAACUUCUAUCAGCAGGGAAGAUAGUGACGGUACCUGACUAAGAAGCCCCGGCUAAUU